CAGGAACCUCACAUAAACGGCCACAGAGUUCGUGUGGGGCUGCUCCCGCCUCUGUGGUGACAGGAACCUCACAUAAACGGCCGAACAGUGGAGGGUUGGGCUGCCGCCACCUCAAUCGUGACAAAAAACAGCCAAAGGGAAAUGUAUGUUCCUGUACCAGCAGCAGGUAGAGAGUUUGUCUACCACAGAGGCCGGGAGACCGUGCACACAAAGGACAGUGUUGCUGCUGGGAGAUUUCUAGAACUGGAUCACCGUUCCUGCACAGAGCAGCUGCUCACUGCCUUGGUAGUGCAAAAGAGACAGUGAGCCACAUCCUGGUCUCAGUGACAAUAAGAGAUCACAGUUUGGCUUGAUAUUUAUGGAGACAGAACCAGUCUUGUACAUCGAAAGAAAAAGAGAAUGGAAAUCACUCAUCCACGGUUUUUUUCUAUGGUCCUGCCUGUGAUAGGAAGCAUGAGGGAAAGAAGGAUGUCUGAGAUAAGUACACAGCUAACACUUUUCAUAUGUUCCUAUCAGUGUGUUCAUAAUGAUGCUUAUAUUAGUCUGUGAGCAGCAAUGACAACCAGAAUGUUGCUCACUGAUGCCAGUGUUCUGUCUUUUCACUUUCUAUUUACUCCAGCUUUGUAUAGUAAGAGUCUUAUGUUGAAGUGAUCUGAAUUACUUAUUUUUAAAACUUUCUUUUUUGCAUUUCUUGACCAUAUCAGAAACUGUCACCAAGGUGGUAUAAACAAUAUAUAUUGGUUUUCUUUUGUAGUACUGUACCAUGAAGAGUUCCCCCAUGAAAUGCAUGGCUAUCAUUUCAUAUAUUUACUUGAAUCACAGUGAAGUCAUAUUCCUAUGGCUUUUCAAGAUGGAGAGGAUGACAUCCUUAAACUCUCCACGUAGAAGUCUUUGGGGCGGCUGUAACUGAUGGUGUGCUGGUGAAGUUUGUGCAGUGAUGCACGAACAGUCCUCUGGUGAGUGGCAGACAGGACGACUGUAAGCAGGAACGCUCCCAGACUAGUAUUUACCCUUCCUGCACUGAAAAGGUUGGACAACCAUGGAUCCUAAACUGUCACAAAAGUGGAGCUUUCAGGAUUCAGGAGCCUGACUCAGUAGAAGAUGCCCUGCCCGUGGAUAUUCAGACAGAGCAUGAAAGAGUGAACAGCUCUGUGAUGCGCCUUGCAGUUCUGCUGCAUGCAACCAAGGGAUGGCACAGCUGCACAGAGGACAGCGGGCAGGAGAGGGGAACCAACUGCAGUGCUGUGAGCCCAGUCUGUGAGAUUUCAGAUAGCCAGCUACAGCCAUGUCUUGGAAGGGACCGGUUAAGCAGGCACGCUCAGAGCACAGCUGUCAGAUAAGACUAAGUCUUCCUAGGACUGUAUGCUGCCUUCUGUUGUAACUGUUGGAGGAGGAGGAGGUGGCAUAAAUAUUGUUUUCCCUUUAUAUAAUAUGAUUAUUGCUUUGGAAUCAGGACACUUAGGGCUAAUUCUUUGCCUGGCUCCCAGUUCCUACUCCCAGGCCUGCUUUGCUAACUCUUUAACAGUCUGCGUAGACUAGAAUACAGUGAUGGAACAGGUACCAAAAUCAGUGGUGGUUUCCAGUUGAGCUGGAGAACUAGAUGGCUGAGAAGCCGGCUACAUUCAUUUUUGCCAGCUGUGUUGCAGGACAGCUACUUGCUACUUCUGGCAAGCAGACAUUGUCCAACAGAGAUCACCAAAGCUAGACUGAAAGCACUCUGAGACUUGGAGGUGUACCACCUUGAUGAAGUAGACUGUACAUCUAUCAGGAAUUUUGGCUGAGCUAAAUGUGAGAAAGGAUUUCAAUUUUGAGCAUGAAAUUUCUUUUUACUGUGAUUUUGGAUACAACAUAUGUCACAGAAAUGAGGAAAAAACCCUGCUGUUAGUGUGCGGGCCUUCUGAUCCUUCUGAAGAUUCAGAAUUCAGCGUCGCAGAUUUAACAUAGGUGUGUUUUGAAAGGUGUGAGCUCUGUUUGUACCUGGUAUCGAUACGGCUUUAUUUUUCAAGCAGAUUUAAUAGUCAGAGCUGUGCUGUGUAUCAGAUAAUUCAAAUCAAAGUCAGAUUGUUGCACUUAACAUUUUAAAUUUAAUUGCAUCAUAAGCAACUAGAUUUGAAAUAUCUAUUUUUGCUUUCGUGUAUGUUAUUAAGAAAUUUAAAGCCAUAUGUAACCUACUACAUUUAUGUACUGACCAUUGGAAAAGAAAUGCUAGAAACACAAUGUACUGAUUUGAAUUAUUCCAAGAAUAUCAUGUUCUUAAAAGGUAUUAGACAUCAAAUACUUAAUACGUGAGAAUAAUACAGAAAUUUAUUAUAACUUCAGUAUUGAUCCAGUUGUGUGUCUUCCUAAAAAUGGAAUUAUGUAAAGAAUGUUUUUGCAGCUUACCUUUUAUGUACUGAUUUUGACAGUUCAAGACUGAUCUUACGGCCUUCAAUCUGAUUGAACUGCGCCUGCAAGCUGUGGGGGCAGCAAACAGACCCCUGGCUGGGUAAGCAAUAAUAUAAUUGUUCUGCCUGACAAGGUCAUAAUCUGUUUCAGAUUCUAUAUUCACAGAUGAAGACGAUUCCAAGAAGACAGAUAUUCAACAUCAUCAUUUUAGUAUUGCACGUCUUCUUAAAAUUUCUCUUUUCUUUCAAGAAUGCAGCCAGUUCUCUGAGUUGCAGCUGGAGAAUGAGGGUAGGUGAGGCCACUCCAAAUCUCAGGAGAUCAGUAGUGUUACAGCUGAUGAUCUAAUUAUGGAUUAUUUGGGUCAGACUCUUUUCUCCUAGGUGUGACUUGGUUGACUUAAAAAAGGUUAAUUCAUUCAUUUUGUAGGGGUUAUAGCAUAAACGAAUUAUAAUUGUUAUCCUAUUACUCAUUAUAAAAGUCUAAUAUUUCCUAUAAGCAGAUGUUCUGAUUUUAUAAGACAUUUUUAAUAAAUGAUUAAACAUAUCUUAAAGACAUUACAUGAAUUGUAGGCAAUUAUGUUGUUACAUUUGUAUUAGUUACAUCUAUUUUGAAUAAAGCUCCAGAGGAAAACAUUUACUCAACAGAAUGCUGUUAAUGAAUGCUUCCUUUGCACUGUGCCUCUAUUGAUUUUGCAGAGGUGUGUAUGAAAAACAGGCUGUUGUAGUGCCUGUCAUUCACUUGGUCAUACCUUAAGCUGACCGUAUAACUGAUCCAUGGUGAAGCAGGGUUUAUUGUGUAUUUAAAAAUUAUGUCACUAAAGAGAUAGAAAAAUAUUGUCUAAUUGGAUUACAGAAUAACUCAUAACUGCAUUCAGAUGUUUUGGAAUUUUCCACAGUUUCUUGCAUAUUUGUCUUCAGACUGUCUUGAGGUAGUCACUGCCAUCAUAGUGCAGCCCUACAUUUGCUUAGGCAGCGAAGGCAGCUUGGGAAGCUGCAGACCCCUCCACUUGCUCCCAGUUCCUUGCCUCCUGCUCUUUUCCCCUUCAGUUGUGCUUUUACAGAUAUUUGUGGCUAUAAGCUGAAUAACUGAGUUAAUAAUAAUCUUUUACCAAGAGACUGGUACAGCCUGACCGUGCAGACCCACACAUAGUUGUGCUAGCAAAAUGGGAGAAUGUUUUCACAAUAAUUACCAACUGAAUUAGACAAAAGUACCACAGAGAAGGGCAGUCCCACCUCUUUCAGGCUACCAGUUGGUUUUUCCUAACUAUUCAGUAAUGUGUAUUACUGUAUUCUUGUCUAAUCUAUCAAAGAAUACACAAACAUAACUUUUAAAGUCAUCUGGAACAGAAUUCUUCUGAAUACAAAGCUUUCUGUUUGGGCAGUAUGGGGUUUCUUUACCAUUGUUUUGUUCCAUGGGCACAGCGGGUGGCAGUUGAGUGUGCUCUGCCCGUGACUUAGCUCCUCUCGUGUUCUUUAACUAAUCCCACUCAUCUUAAUGGAGACCUUUCUCAUUCACUGACCACACUCGAAGUAAUAAUUAGUCUUUAAAAAAAUGUACAAAUAGCAUGAGGCUGCAUACAGUGUCUUACAGGUACGUUUGUGGACUUGUGUUUCCAUGAUGGGAGGCUGCAAACAACCUCUGAGAAAAGGGUUUCAGAUGGGCCAGUUCUCCAAAACUCUUAGCGUGCAGGCAGUCGUGCAAACAGUUUGCUGGUGAAGCACAAGGUAAAGUUUGGCUCUGAUGCAGCUGCUGUACCAAAGAAAUAUGCCCUUAUUAUUAAACUCCAGUAUCCAUGCCUUUCUGUGGAGAAUAUAAUGCUGUACUGAGCCUGCUGAGAAGAGUUCAUCUGAUUCUAGUGGAAUUACACAGCAACAAGCCAAAUAUCUAGACAUGUGACACACUGGAGGACUAUUUAUACGUGCCUUUGAAUGUGACUGCGGAUUACCUAAAACAGUUCUUACCCUGAACAGAUUGACACUGCUAACAAGUGCCAGGCAUAUUUUCUAUUCCAUUCCAGGGGAAAGAAACAGAAGAAGAAGAAGAAGGAAGAAGCUGAAUAAGGAAUUUACCUUUGAAAAUCAGUAAGGUCCCAUUUUCCAUGCUCCUAUCAACUUCAUAUUUUCUGGUAUUAGCAAAAUGCGCAGGAUUUGGCUUUAUCCUGUUUCAAAAGUUGACCUGAUUAAGCACUUACAGCAAUAAAAUUUAGAAGCUUAAAAAUUGAAUGUCAUUCUGUAAUGACAGAGGGAACUGAAGUAAUGCAGUAGACGUUGGCUUUUGUAGAACCACCUGCAGGAAGAGAACUCUAGCUCCUGGCAUUUAGCAAAUGCCGGCUGUGUGUCUCCUGAUUUGCAGAAAUGCACUUAUCUCAAAACUGUUAAGAAAGGAGAUACACAAAAAGCUAAAAAUACACUUCUUGACACCAAUAAAUACAAGGUAAUAUGUAAUAUUGUACCUUAAAUGUUAUAAAUACUCCAGCACGAGAUUGAGCAGGACGGCCUCUCACGGAUGUCAAAUAAAAAUCAAACUGUAGUGGAUUUUGGUUGUGCUGAGAAAACACUUGCACAAACAAUUUUUGUUGUAAAUGAAAUGCUUCUAAUGGAACAUUGAUUUGCAUUGGGUGAAAGCUGUUAAUUUUAAGAUAAUUACGGUUCUUCUUUUUCUCUCUGUCUCACAAAUCUGAUCCUGGCCCUUUAAUUUCUACUUGUUCCGUCAGGAGGAAGAGCUAAAUCCAGCAGACCUUAUUUUGGCAAAACUCCCACUGAAGUCAGUGAGGGUUUUGUGUGAGUAUGGACUGCAUGAUUUGUCUCACAGUUCCUGCUGAUUAUUUGGAGUGUGAUUGCUCCCCGCCUCAAGUACCAGAGCUCCUCACCGAGUCUGACGUUCCCGCAGCACAUGGCUGACAGCACUUCUCUUCUGUAAACUGGGAGCAUGAAAAGCGGUGCAAUGCAGUUGUGAAAAACGCCCUUUUCACCCAGUGACCUUCAAAGAAACGCACUGCCUUGGGAGUUUUGAGACUGCCACUGUGGAACCAACACUACAGAAACAGAGGCACUUGAGAAUUUAACGAACCUAUUUUGAAUUCAUGCUGAGAAUUUAAAGAACUCUUUUAAGCAAGCUGUAAAUGGGUCAAAUUCUGAUUGUUAGAGAACAACUCAUCGAUUAGGUGUUGCCCACAAAGGUGGUACCUUAUGAUAAAACGCUGAUUCAUGUAAUAUUUCCUCACUGCAACACUGUCGUGUCCCUGCAAAAUUUAAUUCUGUUUCCAUUGCAGAUUGCAAUAGAGAAAGGCAGCUGAAGAAUUAACAGCAUCCCUUCAGCAGGAGACCUACUACUACAAAAAAUAACGUAGGGCAAAUGCUGAGAACGAGCUCUUUGUCUUUUUCACUUAAAUCUGAGCAAAUGCAGCACCAAUGAGAGAGAGCAGAUCUGCAUGCAUCUGUGCGGUCCUCAUCCUCAAGCAAGAUGACAGAGCUUUCCUGUGACUCUAGGGACAGUUGGUGUUAAUAUGACUAAAUAAUGCAAUGUUGCACGAUGCCACCUGGAAUUCCUUCUCAUCCAGCUCUGGGCAAAGACAAGGAGAAGCCUUCUGAAGCAAAGUAAGCAACUGCUCGUGGGUGACUGCUCCAAUCAGUAUUCCAGCUGGAAGAAAUUUGAACACCACAGACAAGACCAGCAGAACCAUGUGCCAGAUGCCUGAAUGGCUGAAGGAGAGGGGAAAACAAAGGAGCUACAAGAGUUGGAUGGACAGGAGAGAUCUUCGAGUAAACCGACCAACCAAGAAAGCCCUGCAUAGGUGAAAUAAAGUUUGAACUUGCUAAAACA